rnacentral:rRNA from 1 species
GAUGAACGCUGGCGGCGUGCCUAAUACAUGCAAGUCGAGCGAACAGACGAGGAGCUUGCUCCUCUGACGUUAGCGGCGGACGGGUGAGUAACACGUGGAUAACCUACCUAUAAGACUGGGAUAACUUCGGGAAACCGGAGCUAAUACCGGAUAAUAUAUUGAACCGCAUGGUUCAAUAGUGAAAGACGGUUUUGCUGUCACUUAUAGAUGGAUCCGCGGCGCAUUAGCUAGUUUGUAAGGUAACGGCUUACCAAGGCAACGAUGCGUAGCCGACCUGAGAGGGUGAUCAGCCACACUGUAACUGACGCACGGUCCAGGCUCCUACGGGAGGCAGCAGUAGGGAAUCUUCCGCAAUGGGCGAAAGCCUGACGGAGCAACGCCGCGUGAGUGAUGAAGGUCUUCGGAUCGUAAAACUCUGUUAUUAGGGAAGAACAAAUGUGUAAGUAACUAUGCACGUCUUGACGGUACCUAAUCAGAAAGCCACGGCUAACUACGUG